rnacentral:rRNA from 1 species
GAUAAACGCUGGCGGCGUGCCUAACACAUGCAAGUCGAACGAUCCCGCAAGGGAGAGUGGCGGAAGGGUGAGUAACACGUGGGAAUCUACCUCCUCGCAGGGGAACAACCUCUCGAAAGAGAGGCUAAUACCCAAAAGGGUCAGAAAUGAUCAGAGUCGAAAGGCGUGAGGAGAGGAGCCCGCGGCCCAUCAGCUAGUUGGUGAGGUAAUGGCUUACCAAGGCUACGACGGGUAGGGGAUCUGAGAGGAUGUCCCCCACACUGGAACUGAAACACGGUCCAGACGCCUACGGGUGGCAGCAGUGAGGAAUAUUGGACAAUGGGCGAAAGCCCGAUCCAGCAACGCCGCGUGGAGGAUGAAGGCCUUCGGGUCGUAAACUUCUUUAGAGGGAGACGAGAAAGGACGGUAUCCCUAGAAUAAGCGACGGCAAACUACGUGCCAGCAGCCGCGGUAAU